GCCAGACUCCUACGGGAGGCAGCAGUGGGGAAUCUUCCGCAAUGGGCGAAAGCCUGACGGAGCAACGCCGCGUGAUCGAAUGAAGGCCUUCGGGUUGUAAAGAUCUGUUGACAGGGACGAAUAAGCAAUGCGAAUAGUUUUGUGUAUGACGGUACCUGUUUAGAAAGCUCCGGCUAACUACGUGCCAGCAGCCGCGGUAAUACGUAGGGAGCAAGCGUUGUCCGGAAUUACUGGGCGUAAAGGGCGCGUAGGUGGGCGCUUAAGUCAGGUGUGAAAACUCCGGGCUCAACCUGGAGACUGCACUGGAAACUGCGUCGCUGGAGUGCGGGAGGGGCAGGCGGAAUUCCUGGUGUAGCGGUGAAAUGCGUAGAUAUCAGGAGGAACACCGGCGGCGAAGGCGGCCUGCUGGACCGUGACUGACGUUGAGGCUCGAGAGCGUGGGGAGCAAACAGGAUUAGAUACCCCGGUAC
rnacentral:rRNA from 1 species